rnacentral:misc_RNA from 1 species
CUGGAACAGAGCUGAGUUACAGGCG